UCCUAAUUAUUCUAUCUUUUACUUUAAUAUCUCAACUAAUUUGCAUGUAUAUAAUAAUUAAUGCAUUGUUCUUAACAGCAGCACUCGGUGAGAUUCAUUUGUGUGGAUUUGUGUGGAUGAUGGCGUAUAUCUUAUUUGUGUAAAAGGGCUAAAGAUCCUACAGAUCUUGCCUACCUUGUUCACAUGCUUAUAUCAUUACGUAGACUGAUGGUUGGUUUACAAGAUGUACCGGUAUACUUUGUGAAUAUGUCAGAUGAACUGUUGUAAAUAAUGUAAAGAUUUGGUUUGUCAAUAAACUACAUAUGAUCGAACCUGAAGAGAAGAUUUUGUAUAUAUUGAUACCCCUGAAGAGAUAUCCCAAAAUUACAAUGGAGCCCCCAGUGAUGUAGUUAACUAACAACAAGAUCCAGAUCGAAGAUUGACAACAUUGACUUUUAUAAUCUGUUACAGAAGUGAUAUUUGUAUUAAGUGAUUCAUUUUGGACACUGAAAGAAGUUGUAUUAUUUUGUAAUACAACAGUGAAUUGAAUUUAGUCUACAAUUAACAGAAAAUUAUUAUUUUAAGUACUGUAAAGACUAUAUUUUAUAAACAACAUGUUUUAAGUAAUCCAAUACUUCACAGCAAACAUUAUUUUAUAGAAGAUUAAUUAACAGUUUUCAUAAAUAUUGAUAAAUAUUUGUGCUAUGCAAAUUUGACAUGUCUUUAGUGUAGGAAAGAUUAAUCAACCUUUGACAGAGGACACUUUUCGAGACUUGGAACACAUCUGGUUAGAAGAUCAUCAACAGAGGAUUAUUUGUAAAGUGACAGUGUGUAAAGACAUUGACUGUGGUUAGAUAAGCAGUGGUCCUCUCUGUGCAACUGUA